UACGUAGGGUGCAGGCGUUAAUCGGAAUUACUGGGCGUAAAGCGUGCGCAGGCGGUUUGCUAAGACAGGUGUGAAAUCCCCGGGCUUAACCUGGGAACUGCGCUUGUUACUGGCAAGCUGGAGUGUGGCAGAGGGGGGUGGAAUUCCACGUGUAGCAGUGAAAUGCGCAGAGAUGUGGAGGAACACCGAUGGCGAAGGCAGCCCCCUGGGCUAACACUGACGCUCAUGCACGAAAGCGUGGGGAGCAAACAGG
rnacentral:rRNA from 1 species